CAUCAGCAUUGCGAGCCGACAUAACUGCAACGCGCCUCAAUUCAACAGGUUGCAUACUCGAGGCAAGCAGGAAACUCGGCACCGCUCACACACACUCACAUACGCUCUCCUCAGACGCUACUCAGCAAGCCGGUGGGCGUGGCACGACGGACCUUUAACACAACAAAUUUCGCACCGGUUUCAACGCGAGCAAGUGCGAACCAGAGAGACUCGCGGCUGCGGUUUCGGUCCUAGACGAUUUCGGCGCUUUUCCCGACGACGGCUCACCCCUUUCUAGAGAUGGAUACCUUCGGAGUGGACAAGGUCUUCUACGAGGACCUCACAGAGCUCUGGGACUCGGAUAUGGAACCGGUAAUGCACGAUGUGCUACGCGAAGACGGGCCCGACUGUUGGACAGGCGGAGGGUUGCUCGACUCGAAAAUGCCAGGGGUGGUUCUGCACGACCGACUAAUGACAGAUGCCGCCCUGGGGGCAGUGCCCAUAAAAACGGAGCACUCGUACAGCCUGGCCUCGGAUGGCGACAGCAUGCCCGAAUCGCCGAUCAGCCUGGAAACCAUGGAAGACGAUGAUGAUCUUCUCCUCACUAUGAAUAUGAAGAAGAACGCAAUGAAGAGCGAAAAGGAGUCAGAAAUCACAUUCCUGGAUGUGAAGCAGGAGCCUCUCAGUUCGCCGCCCUCGCCAGACUCGUCCUCCGACGACGACGCCCGUUCCACAAUCUCGGUUGGCGACAAUGAGAAUCCAAUCACCAUGAUGGACUUGGUCAAACAAGAGAGCAGGGUACCCACACAGUCACAGAGCCUGCUCAAGCAGCCACAAACAAUAUACCUUACUACCAGAGGCAACGUCUUUGGCCAGCAACAAGGCCGCGUCGUCAUUCCAAAACUGAACAUCAAAGUCGAGCCAGGCACUGCUGGUUUCUCCUUGCCACCAACUCCUCCCUCGUCCAACUCAAGCGACAGCGAGGGCAACGUUUCACCCCUUCACGGCUCACCCCCGUCCCCCCUGACCGCUGGGGGUCGCUCGAUUCAAGCGCGCCAGAGCAGCAGCAGGUUGUACCUGUCCGGCAGCAACAGCAGCGCCUCCAACAACAGCAACAACCAGGCCCACUGCAGACAGCCCAUCCAAACGCCACUCAUCAGCACACAGCCUAAGGGCACAACUGGUAUGUUGUCAUUAACUGAAGAGGAGAAGAGGACCCUCCUGGCCGAAGGCUACCCCAUUCCAACCCGACUGCCCCUGACCAAGGCGGAGGAAAAGUCACUGAAAAAGAUCAGGAGAAAAAUCAAGAACAAGAUCUCAGCCCAGGAGAGUCGACGCAAGAAGAAGGAGUACAUGGAUGCGCUUGAGAAGCGAGUCGAGAACCUGCUUAAUGAGAACUGCGAGUACAAGAAGAAAAUUGAGUCUUUGGAGGGCUCCAACUCAAAUCUGCUCUCGCAACUGCACAAACUGCAGCAGCUCGUCAACCAAAACAACGCAUCAGCACCUCGCAGCAGAGCAUCUGCAUCGUCCACGUCUCACCACUUCACGAGGAAUUCAUUAAAAUAAGUUGUGACCUCACCUGCACAUUUCAACUAACCAUUCCAUCCACUGUAUAGUCUUCAGGGUUUGGCCAUCACUGUAAAUAAUUCAUCAAACAUCUCAUAACUAGUCUUCCGUCCUGUAUAAAUCAUAAUAUGGGAACAAACAAAAGGGCAACUUUGGAGCCAACCUGAACUGGUAAAACUUUGUCCGCGAGGUUUUAAAUUCAGUGGCUGAAUUUAAGCUCUUUCGCAGGCAAAAGCUAUCCCAGUUCACCACUCUAAAACAUUCCACGGAAUUUAUCAAAGAUCCACUACUCAAGAAAGACAUCAACUAAUACACUAAAGUGGCAUGGACUUGUUCGAGCAAUGGGCAAACUCGCAAAUAAUCAAGUGCAAUCAAUAUAUAAUUUGUGUUAUAGCGUCAAGAUUUUUUUGUAAUUCGUUUUAAGCACGGUUUGAUUUGUUAAUUUUAUAUGAAAUGUACAGCCUGUGUGUGAGCACGGGACAUCCAUUAUUCCAUUCAUUAUUUAAGAAUCAUAAAAUGUGUAUGAUAGGUUUUAAAUUGUAAGGCUAGCUCACUUAAUUAUUAUGUUUUUCUGAUUUUAAACCUGUUACGCAUCAAGAACGGUAACACACAAGGAUUGCCAAAACUGCAUCAGUUUUGCUUAUUUUAAAAUAUCAUGAGAUAUCAAAUUCAUUCAAGACGACACUGUUCGUACUUUUUUUGACAUUUUUCAAUUCACGUGAGUUUGUUUUGUUUUUCCAUACAAGUUAUGUCUAGUCUUGCUUGUUUUGUAUGUGGAGAAAGAUAUGAGAGGCGGAGCAGAUUAGACAAAUUUAGAAGUGACAAACGGAGAGCAGUGUCGUAGUGUACGGAGAUGAGGGGAAAGUGAUGAUUCCUAAUUAUUAUUGCCUUAUUACCAAGACACAAAUGAACGGAUAGAGAAAAUGUACAUAUUUAUAUAAUGAGAGACAAAAUCAAGAGAAAUACGUCGUUGAUUUUAAAUCACAUUGUUAUAACCAAUGAUAUAUAUCCAUGUUAAAUUAUUAUUACACAAUGCAUUGAGGGAGGUUGUGCCGGUAUACGCGGGGCUAGAAAAUUCAGGACAAAAUGAUGCCACAAUGUGACAUUCAUGCAACUCUUUUGUGCAGAAUUUACAGCUUGCCAUGGUCUGUCCAAUCGGCCGAGCUCCCAUUUAAAGCAAAACUUUAAGGUCGGUGGCUGGGUUGAGACUUAAAAAAACUUUAUAAAAAGCAGAGUCAAAACUCGUUAUCACACAUUCAUAAUCGAUUCAACUAAAAUCUACUCUUAUAUUGCUUUAAUUUAAGAACUGAUGAUGAAUAUCAACACAGAUUACUUAACACGAUUUACAAGGGCUCGAGAGCGUUUCGCCCCGAUAUAUUUUUAAUAAGCCUAUAUACAUAUAUGAUACAUACAUUAAAUGCAUAAUUACAUACAUUAAAUGAAUAGAGAUAUAUACAGCCGUGUUGCAUACACAUUCAUGAUUGUGGCCGUUUAGGGUUUAGUCGGUGCUAAAAUGACUGAAACACAAAUUAAUUAUCCAUUCCUUGAGACUGGGACAGAAAUCAAUUUUCAACUCUCGAUGCUGAAAGUAAAAUGUGUCUGUCUCCGAGAGCUCCAAUACAAUUGUUGAAGAAGGAAACUGAUUGUCAAUUAAAAAUCUAACAAACAGCUAAUCAGGCAAUUUUCAACGUGUCUAUUAAAUGUCUAUUCAACACUCAGCAGCAGCUAUAAUGCUUUGUUUUGAGAACGAAAUCUUCGUGUCUAUAUUGUGCAGAAUAGCCAAAUGUUAAAGAAGUGAUGCAAGGAUUAUAAAAACGAUGAGCGCGGCCUAAAUUGAAUUAUCCAGUAUGAUCGAAAAAAUAUGAACUAAAUUUCCAUAAUCAAACACCGACUGUUUUAAUUUAAAUUUUGAAUUCAUUUCGUUUAAAAGAGUGCGUGUUGUUUUUCGUACUUGUCUUUGUCUAGGCACCUCUAUUUUUGCGCUUAUGUUGUUAUUUUAAUAUUUGAAAUUAAGUAACCGCCAAUUUCAUACUUUCCAUGAUAAGCAUUUGUUUUUUUAGUUUUUGACGCGUUCGUACUUUUUUUUUGCGAUUUUGAGGAUUUUUACCAUACACAAUUAAGUUGCUCAAAGCACACCUUUCUGUCUCAUAACGCUGGUUAAAUUUCAAACAUCCGGCCUGUUUUGAAUUGUUUUCGUGUUCGAGUGUCAAUCAUUCGUUCAUAAUUUAAUAUUCAUUACCCAUCCCCAAAAAUAUAUGCAGUGAUCAAUGGCUGAAAAUUGUCAUUCAUGAUGUCAAUUUAGCUAAACAGAGGAACAAACUACCUAAGUUUUAAGAGAGUAUAACAUAAUUUUGUUGCUCCGUUUUCUCACAAAACAAUUAUGAAGGUGAUGUAGACGUUCUUUUGAAUCGCAGGGGAUUUUUAACAAACUCUGUAUUUAUCGUCCUAUACAAACCAGACAACUACAUCAUAGUGUCACACAGCUCUGUAUGUUCUACUUGUAACUGUCAGAAUGUAACCAGGAUUCAUUAUUGUAUCUCGUGCUGGUAUGUUGUUUUCAAUGCAAUCAAUGAAUUGAAUAAAAGGGUACAAGUGAAAAAAUUA